rnacentral:rRNA from 1 species
GCUGGCAGCUAGCUCUCUGCAACUCUCACAUCACUGAAGCUAAGCAGGGCUUCGCCUGGUCAGUACCUGGAUGGGAGACCACAUGGGAAAGCUAGGUUGCUGCUGAAA